rnacentral:tRNA from 1 species
GAGUAUGUAGCUCUUUAGAGUUGUAGUUUUGCAAAAGCUAUAUAGAAUUAUUUUUCCAUACUUU